rnacentral:lncRNA from 1 species
GGACGACGGACGCAAAGUGAUGGGAAAAGCUCACUUGGCCCUUUGGGCCAGGUGAUCUAAAAAAGAAAACCUGUUAAAUUCGUCAAUUAAGAAAAAUAAAAUUUCUCGUUAACACAUGACCAGUACUGAACCAUUUCCGGUCAUUAUCGCACCCUGGUGGAUAAUGACGUUUAAAGUCUUUAACAUUUCUAAAACAAUAACUGAAACCAAGCAAAAUGUACUUUCUUGAAAGUGAAUUUUAAUGAACUGUUGAAAUUAUAAGAUUUAUUGAUUACUUGUUGGUGUUUAAUGCAACUUUCAUCACUUUUGGCUAUAAUAUUAUAGUGGAUGUCAGCUUUUGAUUGCCCAAACGCUAAAAAUAAUUGUCAAUCAAAACUACAAAAUGUAUUGAAAAAUGUAAUUUUAAAUUAGAAAAAUGUGAAAUUAUAAAAAAAAAUCGUUCUCAUUUUUUUCUGCAUUGGCAUAAGCCAAGACUAAGUUAACUUAAGCUACAGUACCUUUUAAAAAAAAUCCUAAUCCUCCAGGUAUGAUAUAUUUUAUUUUUCCCCAUUUGAAACGUCCAAGCACAAGAUAAAAAUCACCACUGUUUAAUACAAUGUCCCAACUUGCCAUAAUGAAUAUCCUACCAAUGAGUGUUUAAUUAAUAAUAUGUUCACACUAAUUUAUACUUCUCACCCUAGCCUGCAUGUCAAUCACAGUAAAAAUUUGACCCUUCUCUUGAAAACAGCCGGUAUUUGACACGCCCACAUCGGUCUAGAUGUGUACUUUGAAAUAAUCGUCGAUUUUAUAAUUCCACCAUGGUUUUCCUAAUUUAAAAUGUGUUCUUUUUAUUUCUUUCAAUGCUUAUGAUAUCCGAUGCCGUAUUUAGCGACAGCGAAGAUGAGACAGAAAAGGGACAGGUAUGUAUAAUUUUAUUUCAACUUAUUUUCAAAUUAAAAUCGUUAUCAUGGCGAAUGUACGCAUAAUAUGAUAUACACUUUAUGAAAAAAAGCAAUAAAGGUUACGUUCAAGUGCGUAAAACAAGUAUUACCAUUCCUUAAAACCACAAAGGAAUUUCCAAUAUUGCAAACGUGUAUUUUCAGCACAUUUUUCAUUCCACGCAUGUAUCUAUUUUCUCCCCGAGUGUGAUAGAUAUAUGAUAUAUGUACAUUGUCGGAAAAUAUACAACUUAUGUGUAUGAGCAUUCGAAACAUGACGAAAAACUAACUUCGCCGAGCUUUUCUCAGACUCGUAGCAAGUACUUAUAUUUGUUUUCUCCGAAAAUAAACGUAUAUUAUUUUUAUCCUGAAAUUUACACCAUUCACUUGAAAUUUUAGUUGUAUAAAAUCUAAAAAAUUUGUCCCUUAUUUUUCAAAGAAUUUGACAUGUAGCUUAACGCGGACCCCAAAAAUUAACUGUUACGUAAAAAAAGGAAUAUCCGCAUUACCGCUCGUUCAAUAUGGAAGUCGGACAACAGAACAUUAAUUUGAACAAGUAGAAAUAAAGCAACAACAAAAAUAUUAGUGUACCUGUUGUUUGUACAAUAGUUGGCUGAUUGCAGGAUAAAGGAAAUAUAAUAUAAGCGAAUAUACAAACACCGUUUAACUUUAUUUAAAAACGUUGAUCGAUUAACUGAUAAUUGCAUGCUUAACGUUUAGUUGCAUGUUUUUGAAAUACAAAAAAGUAGCAGUUUAUACUGUAUAGCUGUCCAUUAUUAAGUAUCCUUCAAGGCAACGUAUUUAUUCGUAUACUAGAUAACAUUUUACAAAUAGAACUAGACAGAUGCAUCUUAUACUAGAUAAGGGAUCCUCCAUUUGAUUUUUAUGGGGGGAGGGGGGGGGGGUGCUAGGAUGAAAUUUGAAAAAAAUAGGCAGGACAGGAGUUUUGAGUUAAAAAAAAAAGGCAGGAUGAGACACUUGCAAAAAAGUCAGGAUGACAAUUUAUGUAAAAAAAGUCAGGAUAAACUAAGAAAAAAAAAGCAGGACCGGAUAAAGUGAAAAAUAAAAAGGCAGGACAGAGAUUAAAACUAAAAAAAAAUGCAGGACAAGAUUUUUCAUCCUAGCCCCCCCCCCCCCCCCCCCAUAAAAAUCAAAUGGUAGCUCCCUAACAUUUUACAAAUAUAACUAGACAGAUGCAUCCUGAUACCUCUGCACGCAGAAUACAUAUGUAUAGUAUGUGAUUCUAGUACUGUCAACGGUACAGAACAUUUUCUUUUUUCCCAUUGCAAUGAAUAAAGACGAUAGAAUGUCUAUGUUGUCUAAAAUUGCUAAAUUGCAAAAGUUACUGACAGGGCUUUCAAUAAUGGCUAAAGUCAUCACACAAAAUAAUUUUGCUAUCUAAGAGCAUAAAACGUGUGUACAUUUAGAAUAUAUCAUCUUUUAAAUGCGUAUAUCUUAAAAAGUCAAAUAUAGCACAUGAAGUUGACUAUAGUCCUUAAGCGUGAUAAAGAUAUUUAUUAUGCUAAUGUUUUUAAAUUGGAAAGGUAGCAAUGUUGAUACGAAACUCUACUAGUACUGCCAAGCUUAUGUUUGUAAUGUUCAUGUAACCCCGAUUUAAACUUCUCAUGGGCGGAUCCAGCCAUUUUAAAUAGGGGGGUUCAUGACCCACGACAAAAA